rnacentral:tRNA from 3 species
GGCCGGGUAGUUCAGUUGGUUAGAAUGCCAGCCUGUCACGCUGGAGGUCGACGGUUCGAACCCGUUCCCGGUCGCCA